rnacentral:rRNA from 1 species
UACGGAGGGUGCGAGCGUUGUCCGGAAUCAUUGGGCGUAAAGCGCGCGUAGGCGGCCCGGUAAGUCCGCUGUAAAAGUCCAGGGCUCAACCCUGGAAAGCCGGUGGAAACUGUCGGGCUAGAGUCCGGAAGAGACGAGUGGAAUUCCUGGUGUAGCGGUGGAAUGCGCAGAUAUCAGGAGGAACACCGGUGGCGAAGGCGGCCUUCUGGACAGUGACUGACGCUGAGACGCGAAAGCGUGGGGAGCAAACAGG